CAGCCCCUUCUCCAUCCAGUUAUGAAAAAAGUAAAUCACCACUCCUGGGCUGAGGUAUAAAAUAAACAAGACUUUGUUCUGAAGAGUUUAUAUGUCUAUACCUGGCAAGGGGAGGAACAGGAUGGAAGGAAGCUGCUUUCACACAGGUGUGCAGCGUGGUAGCUCCACAGUACUUGGGGUGGGGAGCAGCAGUGUGCAGAUCCCUUUCUGAAGCCUUUCUCUGUACGUCUCCUUUCUCUCAGACAUCAUCUGAUGGUUUUCCCUGUUUGAAGAGACUUUGAAAGUAUCUUCUGAUCAAAUAACGUGACAGCCUUAUUUUUAUGGCCAUAAUAAAGAUGGACCCUGUUUGUG